UGGGGAAUCUUGCACAAUGGGGGAAACCCUGAUGCAGCGACGCCGCGUGAGCGAUGAAGCCCUUCGGGGUGUAAAGCUCUUUCGGCAGGAACGAUAAUGACGGUACCUGCAGAAGAAGCUGCGGCUAACUACGUGCCAGCAGCCGCGGUAAUACGUAGGCAGCGAGCGUUGUUCGGAGUUACUGGGCGUAAAGAGUGCGUAGGUGGUUCUCUAAGUUCGGUGUGAAAUCUCCCGGCUCAACUGGGAGGGGUGCGCCGAAAACUGGAGGGCUGGAGUGCGGGAGAGGAGAGCGGAAUUCCUGGUGUAGCGGUGAAAUGCGUAGAUAUCAGGAGGAACACCUGUGGUGCAGACGGCUCUCUGGACCGCUACUGACACUGAGGCACGAAAGCGUGGGGAGCAAACAGGAUUAGAUACCCUGGGUAGUCCACGCCCUAAACGAUGCAUACUUGGUGUGGGUCAUUCAGUUGAUCCGUGCCGGAGCUAACGCGUUAAGUAUGCCGCCUGGGGAGUACGGUCGCAAGGCUG
rnacentral:rRNA from 1 species